CCUACGGGGGGCUGCAGUGGGGAAUAUUGGACAAUGGGGGGAACCCUGAUCCAGCCAUGCCGCGUGUGUGAAGAAGGCCCUCGGGUUGUAAAGCACUUUCAGUGAGGAAGAACGCCUGGUGGUUAAUACCCAUCAGGAAAGACAUCACUCACAGAAGAAGCACCGGCUAACUCCGUGCCAGCAGCCGCGGUAAUACGGAGGGUGCGAGCGUUAAUCGGAAUUACUGGGCGUAAAGCGCGCGUAGGUGGCUUGAUAAGCCGGUUGUGAAAGCCCCGGGCUCAACCUGGGAACGGCAUCCGGAACUGUCAAGCUAGAGUGCAGGAGAGGAAGGUAGAAUUCCCGGUGUAGCGGUGAAGUGCGUAGAGAUCGGGAGGAAUACCAGUGGCGAAGGCGGCCUUCUGGACUGACACUGACACUGAGGUGCGAAAGCGUGGGUAGCAAACAGGAUUAGAUACCCUGGUAGUC
rnacentral:rRNA from 1 species